AUAGUACUCCCUCCGUUCGGAAUUACUUGUCGCAUAAAUGGAUAUAUCUAGACGUAUUUUAGUUCUAGAUACAUUUAUUUUCGAGACAAGUAAUUCCGAACGGAGGGAGUAAGUA
rfam:Triticum aestivum genome assembly, contig: Triticum_aestivum_CS42_TGACv1_scaffold_249127_3DL